CAUGCGAGUUAAUGUUCUUCGUGAACAUAGCAGACUGCUCAGUAACACGUGGAUAACCUGCCCUUAGGACUGGCAUAACCCCGGGAAACUGGGGAUAAUUCCGGAUAGAUCAUAAAUGCUGGAAUGCUUUAUGAUUGAAAGGUUUCGACUGCCUUAGGAUGGAUCUGCGGCCUAUCAGGUUGCAGUGGGUGUAAUGUACCUACUAGCCUACGACGGGUACGGGUUGUGGAAGCAAGAGCCCGGAGAUGGAUUCUGAGACAUGAAUCCAGGCCCUACGGGGCGCAGCAGGCGCGAAAACUUUACAAUGCGGGAAACCGUGAUAAGGGAACACUGAGUGCUAGCAUUUAUGUUAGCUGUCCACAUGUGUAAAUAGCAUGUGAUAGCAAGGGCUGGGCAAGACCGGUGCCAGCCGCCGCGGUAACACCGGCAGCCCGAGUGGUGAUCACUAUUAUUGGGUCUAAAGGGUCCGUAGCCGGUUUAAUCAGUCUUCUGGGAAAUCUAAUCGCUUAACUAUUAGGCUUCCAGGGGAUACUGUUAGACUUGGGACCGGGAGAGGUAAGAGGUACUGCAGGGGUAGGAGUGAAAUCUUGUAAUCCCUGUGAGACCACCAGUGGCGAAGGCGUCUUACCAGAACGGGUCCGACGGUGAGGGACGAAAGCUGGGGGCACGAACCGGAUUAGAUACCCGGGUAGUCCCAGCUGUAAACGAUGCUCGUAA
rnacentral:rRNA from 1 species